UAUUGCUACAGUCCCGAUCCAGAUGGCAUAGCGAUACGGCAACGGUACGUACACACACACACACACACACACACACAUACACACACGCGCGCACACAUCGUGUGUGUCGAAGGCAGUAAGCGCUAAAAAAGGAGAAAAGAAUGCAACGGGCAACUCGUUACGCUACACUCGGCGGCCCACAUUAACGUAAUUCGCUCGCUCGCGCAUUCCACGCGUGCUUGACGCAAGAAGAAUGCUUUAUCGCGCGUUACAUUCUCGGACAUGUCAUCAGAGUAAAAAUAUGUAAGGAAUUAAUUCUUAUUCGUUCGUGAAAAAUUGCGAAACAUAAACAGAGAAAUAGGACAACGAAGCACAAAACAAUGCGUGACAUACAUACGCCAUAUACGGGAUGCGCAAUAAAUUUCCCUUAUCGUCUUAGUAGUCUCGGUGCCAGGAGAGUGCGACGAUAUGGAUGAAGCUGGACGAUUGCCAGAAUCACAUUCUGUAAUCCAAUUUUCAUCCGUUUACGGGAGUUUUACCGCACGAAAUGAAGAUUUCCAAUGUCGCGCCAUAAUUACAUUCUACUACUUUACCGACUGACUUUUAACGAUGUUCCACGUGGUGCUACCUGUAAGAUGAUACAGGAAAUAGAUCUGUGACGUAAUUGCCGAACGUUCAUUCUCGCAAAAUGGAAAUAAUUCCUCAAGAAGAGACAACAUCAAAUCUACUCGGUGAGCAGAUAAAAUUUCUCGGGGGAGACAAUGGGAAAAGUUUCCUAUACUUCGUACGCAAUAGCACGCAUGUGAAUAGCGAAUCGGAGGAAAAGGGGCGACAGACUCAUCUACGAAGAAUCGAGAUUGUCGUAACUAUCUUCUUUCAUAUUUAUUGCUGUUCUUGUGUAGAGGACCAGUGUCUCUCCGUUUACUCAAGCAUCAAAGUAAAUGAAGCAUUAAACAACUCUACGGGGAGAUGUGAUAUCGUCCAUAAGAUGUGAUAUUAUCCAUAAAUCUGGUCAUAUCUUCCUCAAGAAGUACCAAUUUCUUAUCGGAGGGGAAAAAAUUACAGAAGUUUUUAUCAAUUUUGAAAGUAUUAAAACUUAUCUGCCGCAGUUGCGCUCAGUCUCUACGUAAGACGAAAAUGGCAUUACUCUUCAUGUAAAUAACUGCAUUCGCCAAUGACGUUCACUCGUGCAGCACUGACUCGGCUCGAAUUUAGAUGUUUCUACCUCAUAUAGUUUAUAGCUGUCCUCCCCGCGGAGAAGAAAGGGAACGGGCGUGGAUACAUCGUAAACCCCUCUAAAAAGAGGACAAUAGAACGAGCCCUUACGCGAGUGCAGAGCCGAGGAUGAUUUGACAAACUCUCGGUCAGAGUACGCGAGGAUUGUUCAACAAAAGAAGACGAAUGACACAAACGACGGAUGUUCGAGGGUGCACAAAGGCCCAUUUCUCGAUCCCGACGACGCUCCUGUCGACGCUUCCGGCAUCCGGUUCCGGUAGCGAUUUUUAUGCGAGCGCUUGCGAAGGGGAAGAACAGAGACGAGCGAUGAUUCCACAGAAUCUGAAAAGUCAGUCGGGCGUAAACGGCGAAGCACGCACAAAGAGGGUUGGCCCCGAUGCUACCAGAAAGGGAAGAAAAACAGUUAUUGUGCGUGGAAGAAGGGCUGGAAAGAGGAACCGUCGAAACGAUACGUCGUCGCAUCCGCCCGCCCGAGCAAACCAAGAAUCAGAGUCAUUUGUCAACGAAAACGCACG